GACGAACGCUGGCGGCGUGCUUAACACACGCAAGUCGAACGGUAAGGCCCUUCGGGGUACACGAGUGGCGAACGGGUGAGUAACACGUGGGUGAUCUGCCCUGCACUUCGGGAUAAGCCUGGGAAACUGGGUCUAAUACCGGAUAGGACCACUGCCUGCAUGGGUGGUGGUGGAAAGCUUUUGCGGUGUGGGAUGGGCCCGCGGCCUAUCAGCUUGUUGGUGGGGUGAUGGCCUACCAAGGCGACGACGGGUAGCCGGCCUGAGAGGGUGACCGGCCACACUGGGACUGAGAUACGGCCCAGACUCCUACGGGAGGCAGCAGUGGGGAAUAUUGCACAAUGGGCGCAAGCCUGAUGCAGCGACGCCGCGUGAGGGAUGACGGCCUUCGGGUCGUAAACCUCUUUCAGCACCGACGAAGCGCAAGUGACGGUAGGUGCAGAAGAAGGACCGGCCAACUACGUGCCAGCAGCCGCUGUAACAC
rnacentral:rRNA from 1 species